UGUUCAGAGUAAUUUUAAAUAUAUGACAGAGCAUGAUUUCUAAAAUACAUGACAAAGUAUAAAAAUCAUUGGAUUAUCCCUUGAACAUAAAAACAAGUAACUUUACUAACAUCAGUUCAAACAGAGAUUCAUAAAAAAAAUUGUGAUUGUAAAUUUUAACAGCUGCAAAUGAACUACAUCUAGCAUGGAUUCAUGGAGCAGCUUGUGCAAAGGGACGUGAUGAAUCAUGAGUAUGUGUGUCUCUAUCCAACUCUGAAUAAUAUGUCAAUUUCUAAAAAUGAUCUUGAAUCUAUUCAUGUCAGAGUCAUCUCAAGAUGCUUCUGAUAUGAAUCGUGUCCCGAGAAAUAGUACUGUUCUAACUAGGCAGGUGAGAAAUCCUCCUCUCUUUGCAAUGGUGAUGGUACAAAGUAUAUUCCAUCCUGUUUUACAGAAAGCUGUAAUUGCCGGGUGGGCUAAAGAAGUGCUGGUGGAAGAGAGAGCGGACAAUGGUGAGAUCGUUGUGGGUACCUCUGCUGAACAAGUCCUUGAACUUCAUCAGUACUUUGCCCUUUUAAGUUUCCUCAGAGGCCACAGUACUGGCAAAAUAUUGGCUGUUAUUAAAGCUUGGUGUUUCUAGGAUCACGAACUGUGGGAAUCCAAUCUGUGAGUGGAUGAUGACACAACAUGAUGAACUUUAUACUAAAGGUGAGUAGAGCACAGGCUGUGAGCCCAGGAGACAGAGCAAUUACAUUUGACUUGGAGGAUU
rnacentral:lncRNA from 1 species